CGACGGUCGGAGCAGCAGCCCUGGUCCAUCGCGCGCAGAGAAGAAAUCACGAUGAGGCUCGGACUUCUCGUCCUCCUCAGCCUCGCGCUUUGCGCCGCGAGAAAGUCUCGGAGUGACGUCUACAUUCCACCUCCGUAUUUUGACGAAGGAGAAAACUUGAGUAGCCAGAACUGUGGAAACGAAACAACUCGUAAGAACCAACUGGUGUUUGUCGCAAACAUAGGCAAUCAAGCAGUGUGCAUCAAUUCUAUAGCUAUUUCUCAAAGGACUAUUGUUGAAAUAGGUCGUUGCUCUUUCAAUAAAAAUGAUACAACUGAUCUACGGGUCUUUCCGGAUAAUUGUUUCUAUCGCCAAACAGAUGAGGAUUGCAUCAGAUUGUCAGCCAAAGU